rnacentral:tRNA from 1 species
GGGGUGGUGACUCAGUGGUAGUGUGCUUGCCUGGCACGUGUGAGGCACUGGGUUCGACUCUCAGCACCCCA